rnacentral:tRNA from 1 species
AUAAUACAGAAGUAAUUAAUACAACUAGUUUCGACCUAGUCACAGAGCUUGCUCCUUAUUA